rnacentral:rRNA from 9 species
GUAAAAGUCGUAACAAGGUUUCCGUAGGUGAACCUGCGGAAGGAUC